AACCCGAGGGGGCAUCCAAACUUCACGGCCAGGACCUGCUACUUCACCUAGAAUGAAACGAUGGUGACAAGCUGCAAAAAAGGUUAAAAUGGAGCUAUGAACUAGAUGGGUGAUGGGAACAAAACAAGAUCAUCAAAAAAGGGGGAGCCAAGACUGGAACCUCUUGAAUAUCAGCUAAGUUGAAAGUACAGAUAACAAACCACAAUCAGUGGCACCUAGAGUGCAGGUUCAAUCACCUGAAGUAUAUUUGCGCAACAAAUAUUUUUUCCCUCAGAAAUCAGACCAACUAUGAGGUCCUCCCUUGUUCUUUCUCAGUUGAAGCUGCUAGUUCCUGUUAAUUAUUGCAUUAAUAGGUAAUUUAUGUUUGUCCGAUUUGUGGUUUUCGUCAUUCUUUGGUAAACCUCCAAAUCCUGGUCCGGUAUUUUUGUUGUACAGACAUGGCUUGUGUUUACGAGUGCAAGUAUGUAUUAGAAUAGCUCAUUAUCAUGUACAAUCGCGUGAUUCAGUUUAUUUCUGCAGCUAUGUAUGUUGAAAUGACAUUUUCCAGGAGAACUCUUAAAAU
rnacentral:misc_RNA from 1 species